AAUUAUCCCAGAGAAUUGUUUAUAUUAAAAACAGGCUGAGAGUUGUUGGAACUGUCAUCACCCCCCAAAUUGGAAGACAAACAUUCUUCUUGUCAGGAUUUCUUCAGAAAUCCCCUG
rfam:Vicugna pacos cont1.87118, whole genome shotgun sequence.